rnacentral:lncRNA from 1 species
UUUUAUUCUUCAAUUGAUCAAACCACCUAUUGGUAAAAGCCCAAACUACCCUUCAACAAGUUGUAUUUGCGGCCCCAACAGCUAGUCUUAAAUAGUUACAACCACUCACCCAAACCUCACUUAAACAAGUUUAAUUCACUCACAAAUAAAACCUAAAAUUAGGUGUGAAAUCAAACAAAGAAUACUUUAAAAAAAUAGUUUGCAACUCCCUACCCUACAAAAUGUUCACCUUGAUUGUGCAAUAUACUGCCUAUUUAUAGGCAUCCUAGGUGGUUCACGCAAUUGUACACAAUCGUUAUUAAGUAAUAAGUAAGUAAAAGAGUUAUCAUCUCCACAGGGACUGUGUUUAAAUCGAUAAUUGCAAAAUUACUAUUCAUAAGUUGGUAAAGAAACACAAUAAUUUGGAGUGAUAGAUGUUAAAUUAAAUUAAUUAACUAAAUGCAAAUUAAUCCUAAAUGCAAAUAAGAUGAAGUAGAAUGCAAGGCGAUGGUUUAGCAACAAUAUCACUUGUUUAACAACAAUAACAUGAAUAAGCUAGAAUAAUUACAAUACUUGACUCAAUCUAUUCUCAUCAUGUUUAACAAUGUUCCGGAAAAAUUCCAUGGCAACUCGAUCAUUCAUUAACUUGGAAUAUGAUAUAAGUUCUUUCGAAAUCUUAUACUUAUAAAAACAUGUAUAUUUCUGUGUCCAUAUUUUACUAAGGGUUCCUUAGAAUUUAUGUGAAGUAACAUGGACGGAUCACAUUUGAAACAACUUAAUCAUACAAACCUAAAGUAAUGCAAGGUAAUAGAGCUCUCUCGAGUUAUUACGAACCUUUAAUUUAGUCAGAUCAAGAACUAAAUUAAGCAAACACCUUCCAAUUAUUGUUCCAUUAAUUACCAUCUGGUCAGGAUUGAUCAACUAAUUUUAAUACAUCCAAACAUGUUUUAGUGCAUGAAAUACAUAAAUUAUUAUAAUUGGAAGCAUGACCAACUAAGACAUAGGACAUCAUAAACAUGAGUCAAAUGAAUUUUAUCAAAUUAUUGCAAUAAUUCCAGCUAAAAAAAUUUAAGCCAUCAUUGUUAAUGGAAAUACAAUUAAACAAUUUGCAAACAUAUUUGAAUAACUAAGAACAAAAAUAAAGAAUAAGGAAGAAGAAACUCUUGAUGAUUUCAAUGAUUCUCCAAAGAUCGAUCGUGGUGGCUUUCUCCAAUUCUCAUGAUUGCUCUUUUGCAAAUUGCUCAUCAAUGUGGCUGGUCAAGAGAUUUUUUCUCAAGGGAAAUUCCAGCUAAAGGGAAGUGGGGAAAUGGAUGGCUUAUGCGUGGAAAAGAGGAAAGAAAGAUGAUAGAAAUGUGAAUUAAGGGAUGAGGGGUGAAUGAAAUGGAAGAUGAGGAGUGGUAUUUAUAGUAGAGGAAUGACUUGGAAGUUUGCUAAAAAUAGCAUAGAGAUCCCACAAUUUGCUCCCUUGCUUGGUCAGCCAUAAAAUGUGGGAUGGGAGGUUGUUGGUUCUUGAUUUGGUGACCAAUUCUCUCUUAAUUCAUGGCAUGGGCUGGUUAGCA